rnacentral:rRNA from 1 species
GAUGAACGCUGGCGGCGUGCUUAAUACAUGCAAGUCGAACGGAAGGGCCCUGAGCUUGCGGGGUGCAUGAUUGCGGAACGGGUGAGUGACACGCGUGUAUCAUGCCCCUGUCUUUGGGAUAAAACUAGGAAAAAGGGGAUCAUAUAGCAUAGAAGCUCUUGCUGCAUGGUGGGGGAAGGAAAGAGUCGGUGGUGGGGGCUGGACUCGCGGCUUAUCAGCUUGUUUGUGGAGUAGUGGAUUACCAAGGUUUUGACGGGUAGCCGGCCUGAGAGGGUGACCGGCCACAUUGGUACUGAGAGACGGCCCAGACUCCUACGGGAGGCAGCAGUGGGGAAUAUUGCACAAUGGGCGGAAGCCUGAUGCAGCAACGCCGCGUGCGUGAUGACGGCCUUCGGGUUGUAAACCGCUUUCGCCUGUGACGAAGCGUGAGUGACGGUAAUGGGUAAAGAAGCACCGGCUAACUACGUG